rnacentral:rRNA from 1 species
GAGUUUGAUCCUGGCUCAGAACGAACGCUGGCGGCAGGCUUAACACAUGCAAGUCGAGCGCCCCUCCUUCAAGCGAGCUUGAAGGGGUUCUUUCCUUUUGGGAAGAGUUCAAGCAAGCGGAGCUUGCUUGAUGGAGGGGAGCGGCAGACGGGUGAGUAACGCGUGGGAAUCUACCCUUUCCUGCGGAACAACUCCGGGAAACUGGAGCUAAUACCGCAUACGCCCUUUGGGGGAAAGAUUUAUCGGGGAAGGAUGAGCCCGCGUCGGAUUAGCUUGUUGGUGGGGUAAUGGCCCACCAAGGCGACGAUCCGUAGCUGGUCUGAGAGGAUGAUCAGCCACACUGGGACUGAGACACGGCCCAGACUCCUACGGGAGGCAGCAGUGGGGAAUAUUGGACAAUGGGCGCAAGCCUGAUCCAGCCAUGCCGCGUGAGUGAUGAAGGCCCUAGGGUUGUAAAGCUCUUUCGCCGGUGAAGAUAAUGACGGUCACCGGAGAAGAAGCCCCGGCUAACUUCGUGCCAGCAGCCGCGGUAAUACGAAGGGGGCUAGCGUUGUUCGGAAGUACUGGGCGUAAAGCGCACGUAGGCGGACUGGUAAGUCAGGGGUGAAAUCGCGGGGCUCAGCCUCGGAACGGCCGUUGAUACUGG